GCUCCGGAAGCGGCGGCCGCAGCUCGAUGGUUCCGCCGCCCCUCGCUCCGCCUCGGAGGCCUCCACUCUAUGCCCCCGAAGCGGCGAGGCUAGUGAACACCUGGUGGGAGCUGUUUUGUGUCACCCUCCAAAGUACAAUUUCCAGCAAAAGUCCACAGCCCAUGAGGAACCAGGAUGAAGAUGCACGAAACAUCAAUGUGCAAGCAAUAAAGUACGGGUGCAGGCUAAAAAACUAGCAUGCCGGGGAGAAGAUGUAGAAAGGAAAUUUUUCUCUGCACAGGUGGUCAGAUCUCUGGGCAGGAUUGCUGGACUCCCUGCUCCCGAACAACAGCUUGAGCAAAGGCAGAGCACUCAGGAGGAUGUGAUGGAAAGCUGUGGCCAUACACAUCCCUGUCAGGUGCCGUGUCACUGCAGAGGGGGAUGGCUGAGUCAUCGAAGAGUGCCAUUUGUGUCAGGAGACAAGAGAUGUUCCAUCUUGGACAAGUGAUGUCUCAGGUCACCACAUCAUCCACCACAAUGCCUCGUGUAGGCAGUGCUUUUUGCUUCCACUGAAGUGCCUUUCCUGCCUCACACAGCCCAGUCUGCAGCUGGUCCCAGUUUCUCAGUCCCUGGCACCCAUCUAUGCUCCUGAUCCCUGGGCUUUCUAACCCUGAUGACUUGGCAGAGCUGUUGGGUGCCAGUUUCAUUGCCAUCUAGUGGCUUUUGUGUAUAAAAGGGAAGAGGAGUCAGAAAAUAUUAAAGAGAACAGAAAUGGAAGAGAAUAAAAACCCAACAAAACAAACCCCUCCAAACCCCAGAAUGGAAGGAUUGUGUAUCUCACCCAUUUCUUUAUUUCAUAGGCACCAUCUAGUUAUUAAUAAAUUAAGAUUGUUAAUAUUGAAUAUUAGCAAACAUGUAUGAAUUUGAACAUGGUUUUAGUAUGGGGGAAGCUGGUACUAAAAAAGGAACAUAUGAACAACCCUACUAGAUUGGUUUAUCAUGGAUUAAAACAAAUAUUAAUUGCAUGUAUAAUGAAGCUUUCAGUACUUCUUUGUUAUUUGGUUUAUGAUUGGUUUUCAGACAAAAAGAAAAAAAGUACAGAAAAAAGAAGUCUACCAAUACUCAUGUACCUUUUUAUUAAUUCUUCAAUUACCUU